rnacentral:rRNA from 1 species
CCAGCACCCCGAGUGGUCGGGACGAUUAUUGGGCCUAAAGCAUCCGUAGCCGGUACUGCAAGUCUUCCGUUAAAUCCACCUGCUCAACAGUUGGGCUGCGGGGGAUACUACAGCGCUAGGAGGCGGGAGAGGCAAGCGGUACUUAAUGGGUAGGGGUAAAAUCCACUGAUCCAUUGAAGACCACCAGUGGCGAAGGCGGCUUGCCAGAACGCGCUCGACGGUGAGGGAUGAAAGCUGGGGGAGCAAACCGGAUUAGAUACCCGGGUAGUCCCAGCUGUAAACGAUGCAGACUCGGUGAUGGGCUGGCCUUGUGCCAACCCAGUGCCGCAGGGAAGCCGUUAAGUCUGCCGCCUGGGGAGUACGGUCGCAAGACUG